UAGGUUGAUUAUUAAGUCAGUGGUGAAAAUUCCGGGCUCAACCCGGGACUUGCCGUUGAAACUGAUAAUCUUGAGUGUAACUGAUGUGGGCGGAAUGUGUCAAGUAGCGGUGAAAUGCAUAGAUAUGACACAGAACACCGAUAGCGAAGGCAGCUCACAAAAUUACAACUGACACUGAGGCACGAAAGCGUGGGUAUCAAACAGGAUUAGAUACCCUGGUAGUCCACGCUGUAAACGAUGAUCACUAGCUGUUUGCGAUACAUUGUAAGUGGUUAAGCGAAAGCGAUAAGUGAUCCACCUGGGGAGUACGUCGGCAACGAUGAAACUCAAAGGAAUUGACGGGGGCCCGCACAAGCGGAGGAGCAUGUGGUUUAAUUCGAUGAUACGCGAGGAACCUUACCUGGGCUUGAACGUAAGGUGCAUGAGUGUGAAAGCACUCUUUCCUUCACAGGACUUCAUACGAGGUGCUGCAUGGUUGUCGUCAGCUCGUGCCGUGAGGUGUUAGGUUAAGUCCUGCAACGAGCGCAACCCCUGUUUUUAGUUGCCAGCAGGUUAUGCUGGGCACUCUAGAAAGACUGCCUGCGCAAGCAGAGAGGAAGGUGGGGAUGACGUCAAAUCAGCACGGCCCUUACGUCCAGGGCUACACACGUGCUACAAUGGUCGGCACAGAGGGUGGCUACCCGGCAACGGGAUGCUAAUCUCCAAAGUCGAUCUUAGUUCGGAUCGAAGUCUGCAACUCGACUUCGUGAAGUUGGAUUCGCUAGUA
rnacentral:rRNA from 1 species